rnacentral:rRNA from 1 species
UACGAAGGGGGCUAGCGUUGCUCGGAAUCACUGGGCGUAAAGGUGCGUAGGCGGGUCUUUAAGUCAGGGGUGAAAUCCUGGAGCUCAACUCCAGAACUGCCUUUGAUACUGAAGAUCUUGAGUCCGGGAGAGGUGAGUGGAACUGCGAGUGUAGAGGUGAAAUUCGUAGAUAUUCGCAAGAACACCAGUGGCGAAGGCGGCUCACUGGCCCGGUACUGACGCUCAUGUGCGAAAGCGUGGGGAGCAAACAGGG